AUAUUCUCCGCUGGGGGGGGGAUGAGAACCCCCGACCGGGGUUCGACAACUGGCGCAGCCAGUUGGACAGACCGCGAGCCCGCGAGCGGGCUGCCCCGCAGGGGCGAGCGAAGCGAGUCAAUCCCCCCUCACCGCCA
rnacentral:sRNA from 1 species